rnacentral:rRNA from 1 species
GACGAACGCUGGCGGCGUGCUUAACACAUGCAAGUCGAACGUGAUUUUUGUGGAAAUUCUUUCGGGAAUGGAAAUGAAAUGAAAGUGGCGAACGGGUGAGUAACACGUGAGCAACCUACCUUACACAGGGGGAUAGCCGUUGGAAACGACGAUUAAUACCGCAUGAGACCACAGAAUCGCAUGAUAUAGGGGUCAAAGAUUUAUCGGUGUAAGAAGGGCUCGCGUCUGAUUAGCUAGUUGGAAGGGUAAAGGCCUACCAAGGCGACGAUCAGUAGCCGGUCUGAGAGGAUGAACGGCCACAGUGGAACUGAGACACGGUCCAAACUCCUACGGGAGGCAGCAGUGGGGAAUAUUGCAAAAUGGGGGGAACCCUGAUGCAGCGACGCCGCGUGAGCGAAGAAGGUUUUCGAAUCGUAAAGCUCUGUCCUAUGAGAAGAUAAUGACGGUAUCAUAGGAGGAAGCCCCGGCUAAAUACGUG